rnacentral:rRNA from 1 species
AUGAACGCUAGCAAUAUACUUAACACAUGCUAGUUGAAUGCUUUUGAAAAAUGGCAUAGCGCACGGGUGAGUAAUAUAUGAGAAUUUACCUUAGUUUAAAAUACAAUCAUAGUUUUAAAAACGAAUGCCAAAAGCAGUGAUAAAAUUUUAUAAAAAGUAAUAUUUGCUGAAUUAAGAUAAGCUCAUAUAGGAUUAGGUAGUUGGUUAGGUAAAAGCUUACCAAGCCGUAGAUCCUUAGUUGAUCUGGGAGGAUGGUCAGCCACACUGGGACUGAGAUAAGGCCCAGGCAUAUUUGCCAGCAGUGAGGAAUUUUGGACAAUGGGCGUAAGCUUGAUCCAGUAAUAUUGCGUGAAUGAGGAAAGCAAAAAAGAUUACUUUAUGUAAAAAUUUAAUAAUUGGCUGUAAAAUUAUUUCACUAAUGAGGAUAAUGACUGUAGUUAGGAAAGAAGCCCCGGCUAAUCUCGU